rnacentral:rRNA from 1 species
UACGUAGGGGGGCAAGCGUUGUCCGGAAUCAUUGGGCGUAAAGAGCGUGUAGGCGGUCCGGUAAGUCGGCUGUGAAAGUCCAGGGCUCAACCCUGGGAUGCCGGUCGAUACUGCCGGACUAGAGUUCGGAAGAGGCGAGUGGAAUUCCCGGUGUAGCGGUGAAAUGCGCAGAUAUCGGGAGGAACACCUAUGGCGAAGGCAGCUCGCUGGGACGUUACUGACGCUGAGACGCGAAAGCGUGGGGGAGCAAACAGG